GCCCCCACAUGCUCCAAAUUCUCGUUCGUUUGUGCUCCGUUUGUGCACAACUAACUGAAUGGAAAAGACAUUGAAUGAGAGAGAAUUAUAGACGGUGCACCAGCCGUCUAUAAUUUUUUUUAACAGUAGGCUAGUUGAAGUAACAAGGUAAGACCUUAAGACAAUAUGACAAUAUUCACUUAUAGGUUACUGUUAUCCUGUGCGUUUUCAACUUUUAACGAACACUGAUGCGGAUCACAGGAUGUGUGGAUGCAACAUAAACUUCAAGGUCGUCAUGCAUCUCCCAGACACAAGGAGACCUCCUGCAAUAGGCCACAUAAUGUCCAAGAGCAUCCUGGGUUAAGCCUCCUCUAAAAGCAAUGACUGCCCGUAAAGUAAAUCUCUUUCCCAGGAGCAUCAGAUUGGAGCCACAAUAGUAAUUCACUCAAAGGAAAUUCUGUGGAGUUGCUUCCCAGAGGGACACUGUGACAGACUUUGGAUCGGCCUGAGGCAGGGGGACUCUGGAAGGUAAAGGCCUUCUUCCACCGCGGUCUGAAGAUGAGCCAUGCCAGAAGCCUGCAGUACAGCAACAGAAAUACAAACAAAUGCAAUUUCCCUUGUGACUUGUUUGCUGAGACCACAAUUCUGUGAAGAGCACUGUUUUGUUAAUGAAACACAAGUGCGUUUUGUCAUUGACUUUUCAAUGAUAGUGGAGAUGUGGCAUUGUGCAUCAAUUUGGAGAGCACCAGACUUCAGUCGGACAGCUUUGAAUAUUUCGCUCAUCAGUUCUGCCCUCUGUAUGUAGGCCUGUGCAUUCAGACCCUUUGUGGUGAUGGAUUUCACUAGCUGGAGGAGGUUGUUGGAAUCCUCAUUGCAAACAAUAUUUUCAAAAGUUACACUAUCACAGUCCACUUUGAGUCUUUUCCCUCUCACAGAUGGAUCUGCAUGGAGCCAUUCAGGACAAGGAGAGAGAAAAAACAUGCAUGUUGGCUUCAAUGAAGGACAGAUGUCGAGCAAUGAAUCGAUCCACUCGAAUAGGCAAGUGUUCAUGCUUGAAAAGGCCGCGUUUGAUGUUUUUAAACUCGGCUUCGACAUUGGCUGAACUUGCAGUGAUUUUGGAGCUCCGGAAGUGAGGGAUCAUUACCCCUGUCCAGAGAGGUCUGUCUGUGUUUGGUCACAUGGAUCCACUUCUUCCUGGUCCGCACCCUCUACAUCUGGAAUGAUGACACACUCUUCUGCAAUUCUGGCUUUUAGCAGUCCCACCGGCAGAUCAUCUUGAUGCAGUGAGCAACAUCAACCCGCACGAAACAAGCAUUUGCACCACUGGGACACUUGAGCUCUCACCCCCUGCCACAACACCCUGAUAAAGGAAUAUAUGGCCAGACUUGCCAUUUGGUCUCUGUAGUUUCCUCACCACUGAGCCAGUUGCAUCAAAACUCACAGUGGGGGUGGCCAAAUUAGGCAGAUGACUUGGCUCAGGAUCUCCAAAAUCCAUCAGCUUUAUUGCCUCUGAUGCCCUCCAUACAUGGGGUUCCUUUCUACCUUCACACAGUUCUUUGGAUAUCUGCACACGCAAGUUACCAGACAUCGGACGUUUGGAACAGCCAGUAUGCAGGGAGUCAUCAGUGUUUUUAAGCGAACACCUGCACAUCAUUGUGCAGUUUAUUUCAGGCUUUUUGUCACAUUUAUGUGAACUUGGCCACGACACUCCUUACAGUUGCCUAUGAUUAGAAUAUAUUUGUCUGUGACCGAUGGAUAGACCUUGGCUCUGUUAAAAGUAAAUGUGCAGGGGCAUUUCACUUCUUGCCAAAUGUGAUGAUUUAUCACAUGCGUCCAGAUACCAGGCUUCAAAAUUGUGUAUUCCUUUUUUUUGUUUUAGAGAACUUGUUUUUGUAUGUCACUGUUUCAGGCAUAAAUUCAAUCCAUUUCUGAAAUGGAACUUCAACAUCAAAA